rnacentral:rRNA from 1 species
UACGAAGGGGGCGAGCGUUGUUCGGAUUUACUGGGCGUAAAGGGCGCGCAGGCGGCUCAUUUUGUCAGGCGUGAAAGCCCCGGGCUUAACCUGGGAACUGCGUUUGAUACGGAUGGGCUAGAGUUCGGGAGAGGAGAGUGGAAUUCCCAGUGUAGAGGUGAAAUUCGAUAGAUAUUGGGAAGAACACCGGUGGCGAAGGCGGCUCUCUGGACCGAUACGUGACGCUGAGGCGCGAAAGCGUGGGGAGCAAACAGG